CACAUGAUGGGAUCAUUUAAAACUGAUUGAACUGCAAAAAUUUUGUAUCUUGAUUAAGAUACAUAAAAUAUUAUGUAUCUGCAUUCAUCUGCUGUGGUCUAUUGUUAAUGUAGUCAAGAACCUUGUUUAAAGCAACUAAUUUUUGCUCUGGAAAAGUGCCAUGAAAAGAUUUAAACGAGACGAAAUACAAACUCAACUAAAAUACAUAUACUAAACACAAACUCUCUAUACGAAAUAUA